GCAGAUUUGAAAAGCAUUUGGCUUUUUAUUGGGUUAUCUCUGUUCUCUGGUUUUAUGAACUUUUUGGAAAAGGCGACCUAUCGAAUACGGAUAAAAUUGUGGACAUACAUUAUCUCACUUUUGAAUCGAACUGUUUGCUGUCAAGGGCUCAAUGAAUUGCCUCAGAAUACACCGCAUUAUAGACGGUUAAAAGCCGACUUAGAAAUUCAAAAUAUGCUUUUUGAAUACAGUACACUUGUUUUAAGCCAAGGUUACUUCGUGUUGUACUUUGUAGAAAGUUUUCAACUUUCGGUGUCAUCUUUCUGUUUGGAAUUUCUGAAAAGAGUUGCAAUUGGCAUGGGAAUCGACUUUUUUUUCAAUUGCCUUUCAAAUUUUGUGCAAAUCCAUUACUACAAUAUUCCAGUUGGUCGCGUUUGGACGAAGUACUGGAAACGACACAUGUUGGCUAACUUCAUCAUCGUCAUUGUGAUGGUGUCAUACUUCAGCCCCGUCCUUCUUUCGGUUUUUCAAGCACGGGAGACUGGGACAAGUAACAGAGAGUAUAUAGUCAGAAAGUGUACGUUAUUCUAAUGACCUCGUCAUAGAACUAAGUUAGCCAAUACUGCUAUAUACAGCUGGGUUUUCCUAGUAAGACUUUCAAAUGUCAAUUGACACUAGACACGAGUACAUGUCUUUGCCGAAGUCAAUACAUGUAUAGUGAAUAAUUUAGCUGUGCGCUACACUGUUGCGCGAUCACAAAUUAUUGACAAGUUGUUAAACUUGUCAACAGGAUGUGUUCGAACUGCUUGUUCCCAGCUUGUUGACAAGUUAACUGUCAACGGCUUGUUGACAACUUGCUACAACCUUGUUGAGCUCAACAGACUUGUUACAAGUUGUUUCAACAACUUGUUAUCGUCCUGCAAUUCAACAAUUUGUCACAAGUUGUGAUUGACAACCUUCUUGCAACUUGAUAAAAUAACAGCAUUGUUACACCUCGUUGACAAGCUUGCUACAAGUCUGUUGCGAACACAUCUUGUUGACAAGUUGUGAGAUUUUC